UGGGGAAUCUUGCGCAAUGGGCGAAAGCCUGACGCAGCCAUGCCGCGUGGAUGAUGAAGGUCUUAGGAUUGUAAAAUCCUUUCACCGGUGAAGAUAAUGACUGUAGCGGAGAAGAAGCCCCGGCUAACUUCGUGCCAGCAGCCGCGGUAAUACGAAGGGGGCUAGCGUUGCUCGGAAUUACUGGGGCGUAAAGGGAGCGUAGGGCGGGACAUUUAAGUCAGGGGUGAAAUCCCGGAGGCUCAACCUCGGAACUGCCUUUGAUACUGGGUGUCUUGAGUGUGAGAGAGGUAUGUGGAACUCCGAGUGUAGAGGUGAAAUUCGUAGAUAUUCGGAAGAACACCAGUGGCGAAGGCGACAUACUGGCUCAUUACUGACGCUGAGGCUCGAAAGCGUGGGGAGCAAACAGGAUUAGAUACCCUGGUAGUCCACGCCGUAAAGCGAUGAUUGCUAGUUGUCGGGGAAANCUUGCUUUUUCGGUGACGCAGCUAACGCAUUAAGCAAUCCGCC
rnacentral:rRNA from 1 species